rnacentral:rRNA from 1 species
GACGUAGGGCGCGAGCGUUGUCCGGAUUUAUUGGGCGUAAAGAGCUCGUAGGCGGCUUGGCAAGUCGGGUGUGAAACCUCCAGGCUCAACCUGGAGACGCCACUCGAGACUGCUAUGGCUAGAGUCCGGUAGGGGACCACGGAAUUCCUGGUGUAGCGGUGAAAUGCGCAGAUAUCAGGAGGAACACCGGUGGCGAAGGCGGUGGUCUGGGCCGGCACUGACGCUGAGGAGCGAAAGCGUGGGUAGCAAACAGG